rnacentral:rRNA from 1 species
UACGUAGGGUGCAAGCGUUAAUCGGAAUUACUGGGCGUAAAGCGUGCGCAGGCGGUUUUGUAAGUCUGUCGUGAAAGCCCCGGGCUCAACCUGGGAAUUGCGAUGGAGACUGCAAGGCUUGAAUCUGGCAGAGGGGGGUAGAAUUCCACGUGUAGCAGGUGAAAUGCGUAGAGAUGUGGAGGAACACCGAUGGCGAAGGCAGCCCCCUGGGUCAAGAUUGACGCUCGAUGCACGAAAGCAUGGGGAGCGAACAGG